ACGGAGGGUGCAAGCGUUAUCCGGAUUUACUGGGUGUAAAGGGAGCGUAGGUGGCUCGAUAAGUCAGAAGUGAAAGCCCAGAGCUCAACUCUGGGACUGCUUUUGAAACUAUCGAGCUAGAGUGCAGGAGAGGUAAGUGGAAUUCCUAGUGUAGCGGUGAAAUGCGUAGAUAUCUGGAGGAACACCGGUGGCGAAGGCGGCAUCCUGGACCGGCAUUGACGCUGAGGCGCGAAAGCCAGGGGAGCAAACGGGA
rnacentral:rRNA from 1 species